rnacentral:rRNA from 1 species
AUUGAACGCUGGCGGCAUGCUUUACACAUGCAAGUCGAACGGUAACAGGCCUUCGGGUGCUGACGAGUGGCGAACGGGUGAGUAAUGCAUCGGAACGUACCCAGAGGUGGGGGAUAACGCAGCGAAAGCUGUGCUAAUACCGCAUGUGAUCUGAGGAUGAAAGCGGGGGACCGAGCAGCAAUGUUUGGCCUCGCGCCUUUGGAGCGGCCGAUGUCGGAUUAGCUAGUUGGUGGGGUAAAGGCCUACCAAGGCGACGAUCCGUAGCUGGUCUGAGAGGACGACCAUCCACACUGGGACUGAGACACGGCCCAGACUCCUACGGGAGGCAGCAGUGGGGAAUUUUGGACAAUGGGCGCAAGCCUGAUCCAGCAAUGCCGCGUGCGGGAAGAAGGCCUUCGGGUUGUAAACCGCUUUUGGCAGGAACGAAACGGUGUCCGCUAAUACCGGGCGCUAAUGACGGUACCUGCAGAAUAAGCACCGGCUAACUACGUG